CCAAUCCCCGUGAAUCUCCUUAUCCCUUCCUUCUGCGCCACCCAAUCCCUCCAUGACAUCGAGGACUCCGACCACCAUCCCUCCACGUCUCCCCGCCCAGUUCCUUCCAAGGUCACCCGAGCGCCUCAACCUGCUCUCUAUGACAUGGAUUUGUACCCGCCGGCCACCAUGUCGUCGUCCCAUCGCCGUUCUGAACAUCACCCUGCGACACCAGCGCUUGGCCCGCACCUCCACCACGUCUCCAUCGAUGCCACCAUUGAGAAUCCACCCCAACUCAAGUAGUUCACUGACAUCAUGGAGGAAGCACUGAGCAGCUGCAUUGCAAAUACGAGGAACAUCAUGAGUGCAAGAAGUUAAAAUUGAACAUAUAGUGCCAAAUUGGAAUGCAAUUCCAACUUCUGCUGGUAUUGGAUCAAAAGACGGAAAGGAUGCCAUGGAUCUGCUUCAAGGACGUUACAUCACAUCUGUUAGUCGAGACAUGGCACCUCCAGCAAAAGCAGCAUUUGUAGAGAGCUAUGCGUCCGCCCGCCUUGCUUUUGUAUUGGUUUCCGGAGCUUUUAUAUUCAUGAUGAUGUUAUUGAUGCACGGAUGAUCUAAAGCACCCAGAAGAAGUAGAGGACAAGACAGGAGGAGGGAACAAGAAGCUUCGUUUAUCAUUGAUGUUAUGUGUGAUCAACAAAAACUUGUGCUUCUCAUCCAAUCUUUGUCGAACUAUGUUGAUGUGUGAUUAUGCACUUGUUGGGCCCUUUUGCUGUA